rnacentral:rRNA from 1 species
GUCGAGAAUCUUUCACAAUGGGGGCAACCCUGAUGGAGCGACGCCGCGUGGAGGAUAAGGUCUUCGGAUUGUAAACUCCUGUCAUGCGUGAACAAGGUUGCUUGGUUAAUACCUGGGCAAAUUGAUGGUAACGCAAGAGGAAGAGACGGCUAACUCUGUGCCAGCAGCCGCGGUAAUACAGAGGUCUCAAGCGUUGUUCGGAAUCACUGGGCGUAAAGGGUGCGUAGGGGGCGUGGUAAGUCAGAUGUGAAAGCCCGGGGCUCAACCUCGGAACUGCAUCCGAUACUGCCAUGCUAGAGUACUGGAGAGGUGACUAGAAUUCUCGGUGUAGCAGUGAAAUGCGUAGAUAUCGAGAGGAAUACCAAAGGCGUAGGCAGGUCACUGGACAGUUACUGACACUGAGGCACGAAGGCCAGGGGAGCGAACGGGAUUAGAAACCCCGGUAGUCC